rnacentral:tRNA from 1 species
GAGGGCAUAGCUCAGUGGUAGAGCUCAUGCUUAAUAUGCAUGAGGUCCUGGGUUCAAUCCCUAGUCCCUCCA